rnacentral:rRNA from 1 species
UACGUAGGGGGCGAGCGUUGUCCGGAUUUAUUGGGCGUAAAGGGCGUGCAGGCGGUCUGUUAAGUGCAGGGUGAAAGCUCCCGGCUCAACUGGGAGAGGUCCUUGCAUACUGGCGGACUUGAGGGGGGUAGAGGAAAGUGGAAUUCCCGGUGUAGUGGUGAUAUGCGUAGAUAUCGGGAGGAACACCUGUGGCGAAGGCGGCUUUCUGGGCCCUACCUGACGCUGAGACGCGAAAGCGUGGGGAGCGAACCGG